GGUGUCUGAAGUUAACCCAAAACAAUUGUUUUGUGAAUGCCUUAAUAUCCAACGCACCUGUAUUUGUCAGUGUAAUCCUGGACAAACGUGGACCCAAUUCUCCGGUCGCCAGAAUAAUUAUUGCCUCGUUCGCAAGCUAUCUCAUGUCUCAAGAUAGGUUUUAUUUGGCCUGCUGCCCGACCCACCCUGUUGUUCUGAUGAUGCCAGCAAAAUACAUUUAUUAUACUCUUUGUGAAGACCAUUACCGUUAUGGUGAGAGUUUUACAAACUUUCCUGCCAAGUUUUUAUGAGCCUGGUUCCGAUCAUUUUAAACUGAUAUGGCUAAAGCUAUGACAAUGACAUUUUUAGGAGUAGCCUACAGUUGGACUUGACCUGUCUCAGGAGUCAUAUUACAGACCAUGCAGUGUAAGGAUUAGGUGGUAAUCCUUAACAAAUCACCAAGGAGAAUUGGUCCUUACUUGAGAGAGGAUGAAGCAUGGACUCAAAGAAACCAUUUGUCACUGACUUUGAAUGAUCUAGGCUGGAGAUCCUCUUUGCCUCCAGAGCAAUGCCUGUCAGAACAAAAGUGAUCCUAAAAUCCAUUGAUGAGAUGUGCUGGAGCUAAAUAACAGGCCGGAAAAGAUUGGAUGGAGAGUCCUCUGUGGGUGCUUUACUUCACUGCGGAUCUGAAGUAGAACCAUCCAUACCGACUUGAUUUCAUCAAUUUCAAAUGUCAAGUGUCUUUGUUUCACACGUGUGAUCAGCGUCUGCAGGGACUGCUGCACAUUGUCACCACUGUCUUCCUGCAUCAUUUGAAGCGCUAUUUCCCUCCUGCGUCAAUAUUCUUUGUUAUCAAGGUGACUAGGUGCUCAAUUGACGCAGUGUGUGCCAGCACCUUUUGAACAUUUCAAUGGAGCUGCACUUACUUCGCAUUCCUUUUGUUCUAGAUCGUAUUAACAGAAGGUUCACCUUCACCGUUUGGUACAUUGCUAGAUUGAAACCAAAGGGGGUGGGGGAGGGGGAAGCAGGAGAAGGGGGGAGCAAAGGGACGUUGUGGGUGUGUGUGUGUGUUAACCUCCCUACCCUUCACCUUUGUCUCACUGUGUGGAGGAGCAGGACUAUGGCCAGGAGAGAUCUCCCCUGCCUGGACUCAAGCACCUCUGUGUCCCUCUCUGACCUGACGCUAUGGUGCAGAACGGCUGAGAAGCCUUUCUCAGACACAAGUUCAAAUCAAAGAAGGCAGCAAAGUCUUCCAGUAUUUAACCUGCUAGCUGUCUAUUGUCAAUUCAGUGUACAAUGCAUGGCACUCUCUGAUCUAUUUAAUCAUCCAACAACUGUUUACCGUAUAACUAUAUAAGCCUUGAUUCGUAAUCCCCGUUCACUAUAUACUGUAUUUUUCUUCUUUGUCAGGGAAGACAGAUGUAAUUCUAAAGCACAUGAAUUAAACAUGAGAAUAACUGCUUUCAUUUAGCAAUGGUAACCUGCGCUAAAUCCUUCUUGGCUUGCUUUGGCAGCAGCACCACCCGCUCAGGGCCUGCAGGCAGAGAGGGUUCCAUUGUAGUGUUAGCAGCAGCACUGCACUGUCCAGUCCAUAGAGAAUGUAAAUGAGCAGCUCUCCAGACCUGAGGGGGGACCACUGCUGAUCACUGGCCACCACAUUAAGCACCACUACCCCCUGAUGAGAGGCCUCUCACACACAAUCAUCUGAUCAGAUGCAAAAACAGAGCAUUUCUAUGGGGGGAAACAACAGACAUUAAUGAAACUCUUGCUCUUAAUGUGCUUCUGAGUGUUAGGCCGUACAAAAAAGCUAGGUUGUAACAUUAGACAGAGGUUUUGUUUGUUGUUUAGGCUAAUGUGUUAAAUAAGGAGACAGCAACUUGUGUGAAGGAACACAGGCUACUGUGAUCCUGUGAUCUAAUAUUGUGUUGUCAAUAGUAUUGACUUUCAAUCACAGACAGGACAGAAUUCAGAAUCUUCAAUAUAACUCAUAGCUGUAUGGCCCCAGAGAUCUUUUAAAUCGUAAUAAAGGCCUGCAGUUUUUGGGGGAUUUUUAACACUCAUUUACCCUCCCAUCCACUUAGCAAACAACAGGACAUGGUUAUUUACAGUAGCUGCCAGAUCUGCAAUAGUUAACACAUUUGUACUCCCCAAAUGCCUAAUUUAUUGAACCAUGUCGGCACAAUUUGUUCACUUAGUAAGAGACCCCCUAUUUGUUCCUUCACAUGGCAGGGUACUGCUUCCUGUCACAAGUGUUUUUGUAUGCUUGCAGCGUUCAAAUAUGCUGAACAUGGAAACAGAGAGAAGGAGGGAAAGGAAGAGAAAGAGGGAGAAAACAGUAAGCAGUCUCAAGUAAACAACGUUUUGGCUGUUUAAAUAAAACAUUUGUUUGUGAUUGAGGCUUCAUGAUGUGAACAGCAUGACCUGUUUUACAGGGAGCCUCUAAACAGUCAGCCACUCGCCCUCUUAGAAACAGAUCCCCUCUGUCUACCCACAGACUCAGCGCCUAUUUAUAUUGCAUGAGAACAAAAUUUUUUGACAACUUGAGUGAUAGAUUUGUACAAGGCCUGGAUGUUUUUUUCUGAGGAGGUCCUGUCUGAGUGACAUAAAUUGCUAUUAAUAAAAAUUUUAACAAUACAUGGCAAAUUACUUUUUUCUGUUAACAUGGUAUGAGCGGGACCAUUUGCUGCCUUUGGUGGGCUUCCUGGGAAUAGCUUUGCUGUCUGAGUCAACAUUCAGAGAGGAAGGGAUGGGAAAGAACAUAGGCAGUGAACAGUCGAGCAGGGUUGCUACGCCAGAAUGCAGUGCCGUGUAUAUAGUUUUAAGUGUCAUGAAGAGAUCGGCAUGCUUGGAUGCCAGCCUUAUUGACUGUGGACCUCCUCUCAUAGCUUUGUCUCUUGCUUCAGUCAAAAUAAUUAACUGCGCAUGUUUUAAGGCGGGAUUACAGUUGUCUAAUUGUGGUGUGUGUUGUCAUGGAGACUAUCAGGCUACCAGUGAAUAAACAGCCUUACAUGGUGGUGUUUGGUUAAAACAAGGCUUUGUGCAGAUGUCAGCCACAGAUUUAUGAUGGUGAAGCAGAUUAAAUUUGGCAGGGAAAUCAAUAGGCUGACCACUAUGGAC